rnacentral:rRNA from 1 species
AGAAUCAACGCUGGCGGCGUGCCUAACACAUGCAAGUCGCACGAGAAAGGGGAGCAAUCCCUGAGUAAAGUGGCGCACGGGUGAGUAACACGUGAAUCAUCUACCUCCGAGUGGGGAAUAACCUAGAGAAAUCUGGGCUAAUACCGCAUAACACUUACGAGUCAAAGCAGCAAUGCGCUUGGAGAGGAGUUCGCGGCCGAUUAGUUAGUUGGCGGGGUAAUGGCCCACCAAGACGAUGAUCGGUAUCCGGCCUGAGAGGGCGCACGGACACACUGGAACUGAAACACGGUCCAGACUCCUACGGGAGGCAGCAGUGGGGAAUUUUGCGCAAUGGGGGAAACCCUGACGCAGCAACGCCGCGUGGAGGAUGAAAUAUCUUGGUAUGUAAACUCCUUUCGAUGGGGAAGAUUAUGACGGUACCCAUAGAAGAAGCCCCGGCUAACUUCGCGCCAGCAGCCGC